CGGCCACAUUAGGUUAAAACGCCGGUUUCCAUACGAUCAUCGAAGUUAAGCAACACCAAGCCUGGUUAAUAUCUAGAUGGGUGACCUCUUGGGAAUAUCAGAUGUAG